UAGUCCACGCCCUAAACGAUGAGUGCUAGAUGUCGGGUUUUACAUUCGGUGUCGUAGCUAACGCGUUAAGCACUCCGCCUGGGGAGUACGGUCGCAAGAUUAAAACUCAAAGGAAUUGACGGGGACCCGCACAAGCGGUGGAGCAUGUGGUUUAAUUCGAGGCAACGCGAAGAACCUUACCAGUCCUUGACAUCCUAAUCGCGGUUUCCAGAGAUGGAUUCCUUCAGUUCGGCUGGAUUAGUGACAGGUGCUGCAUGGCUGUCGUCAGCUCGUGUCGUGAGAUGUUGGGUUAAGUCCCGCAACGAGCGCAACCCUCACCCUUUGUUACCAGCGGUUCGGCCGGGGACUCUAAGGGAACUGCCCGUGAUAAGCGGGAGGAAGGCGGGGAUGACGUCAAGUCAGCACGGCCCUUAUGGACUGGGCUACACACGUGCUACAAUGGUAUUUACAGUGGGCCGCGACGUCGCGAGGCGAAGCUAAUCCCUAAAAUAUAUCUCAGUCCGGAUUGGAGUCUGCAUUCGA
rnacentral:rRNA from 1 species